ACCACCAGAGUUGCAAGACCUGUGUGUAAGACCGUGCCGUGGACUCUCUGGCUCUUAGAUUUCCCCACCUUAUAAGUUCCCCGCUACCUGCGGUCAAAGUUGUAGAGUAAACUGCAAAGCUAACCUCAAAUGUUAGUGCAGCGAGAGUGUAAGUUUCACGUCGACUUAUACAGAAGAAACUACCAUGAACUUCUAACGAUAGCUUGUAGCCAUAUCUACAAUGCCCAGGUCUUGUGUUGUUUCCAAAUGCAAAACUGGUUAUAAAAGUUUGAAGGUUAAACGCUCGGUUUUCAAAGCACCAUCGAAUGUUGAAUUGUUUGACAAGUGGAAAGCGGUGUUACCGGAGGGAGUUCGUUUAACUGCGACGAAAUUUGUCUGUGAAAGACAUUUCAAAGAAGAAGAUAUCGUUAGAAGAUAUGUUAGAUUCGAUCAGAAUGGUCGAAAAAUUGCAGAUGUUCCCUUCAAGUGUCCUCGAUUGGCGGACCAGGCUGUUCCGUCGAUAUUUACUCCCGAUGACGAGACUGCUCAAUCCUUUUCUUCAGUCACCAAUUACAGCGAAUUGUCAGACUCGAUAGUCGAGAAAAAUGAUUCUCAGACAUUCAAAGCCAUGGAAGCGUCAAAUGUUACUCAUGAGGAAGUAAAAUUGGCGGAAGAAAAACCAUUGCCACAAUUUUCACAAACAGAAAUUGAAAAUGUGAGAACAUCACCUGCAUCUAAAUCACAGACUGGAAAUUAUUUAACUGUGUUACUGAAAAAUGAAAUGAGCAUUUGUACGGCUGAAGACUCUGAACUAGUCGCUGUCAAUCAGGCUCAAAUAUCAGAAGAACCAAAAACAUCUGUACAUUUGUUUGAUGCACUUACUUCAAAAAUCAAUCAAGGUGAAGAUAUUUCGAAAGCCAAUGAAAAUGACUUCUCGAUUCCUACAAGUUGGACGGUUAUAAAUCAGCUUUCCCCAAACAAGCAAUGUGUUACAAUCACCCACACACGAUAUAUGAAAAAAAACGGUGUGCAUCACCCGAUCUUUGAUAAAUAUGUCACAAUUGAUAUCGAUAAUCGAAUACGAUACUUUAUUUCGGGACGCGUUGUAGAAGCGCAAGAGGCCGGACUGCAAGAAACUUUAUUAAAUAAAAUAGAACUGACCAACAUUUUGAACAAAUUUGGAAACAUCAAUUUGUGUGGAGGUUUAGGAAACGUUGACACGCAAUAUCUUGAACUGAACAACGAAUUCAGAGAUUAUUUCGGUGAUUUGCACAGUGAUAAUUGUUCUCUGAUAUCAAAGAUGAAGCGAUGUCGCAGUUGUAUAAAGCUGCGGAAAAUCGCUUUUCAGAGAAAAUCCAGGUACAAUAACGAUCAGCCGAUACGACGUAUGCGAAAGGCUAUGAAUCCGAUUGAUCAGAGAUUGUUGCUAGCAUCACAGAAGAAACUGAAACGUCAAAAACGUAAAUUAAAACGAAUCAUGGCCGAAAGAGAAUUGUUGAAGAAUUCGCUAGCUGAAAAGACCCAAGAGUUGACCAAAAUCAACAACGAACCGUUUGAUGAAAAGUGUUCAAAACUCAACAUCCCAGCUGCUCAAAGAAUAACACUGAAUGAAAUAAUCGCAGCCGCUUCCACAACCAAAUCCAAUGGCCGACGUUAUUCGAACGAAUGGAUAAUGCAGUGUCUUUUGUUGAACAUAAAGUCGCCAUCUUUGUACGAGUAUUUAAGGGUGAAUAACAUUCUACCGUUACCCUGUUCAACAACUAUUCGUCGAUAUUUUUCACUCGCAAACAAGAAGUGCAACUUUGAUCAAAAUUUCACCGAGGUACUGAGGCGUAAAUUUGACAAACUAAAACAGAAAGGACUUAAACUGGACAGUCUGAUUUUGUUAAAGGAUCUCGAAACGAAAAAUCCAAUGGAUAUUUCUGCAGAAAGUCCAGCCUAUGUCAGUGUAUCGGAUUUCAGAAACGACGUCCUAAAGUCUCAAAGUGUCAAUGAUCAACCCACGCACGGUCUUGUUCUGAUGUUUCAAUCGUUGACGGACAGACAGACUCAUCCCGUUGCAGUUUUCAACGACGAAAAUCCUAUCCGAGGUGAACAAAUAUCAAAAUUAAUUAUCGAGGCGAUCGCAUGCCUAGAAAACUGUGGGGCCACAAUUCAUGGCGUUAUCGCUGAUGAUAAAACGAUGAAUAAGAAAAUCUGGUCUUCGUUGGGUGUCGAAGGCUCGAUUAAUGGCAUCAAAACAUGGUUUACACACCCUGUCGAUGAGAGCCGCAAAGUUUUCGCAUUUUCCAAUGCGUUGCACUUGAUAAGAUGCAUAAGAGAUCAAUUAUAUGAUAAUAAACGACUGCGUAUAAAUUCUCGUAGUAAUUACAUUGAGUGGAAAUAUAUCCAGGCUUUAUUCAUUCUCGACAGUGAUGAAGCGAGGGCUAGAGUUUGUCCUGAAAUUACACAGAAUCAUGUAAAAUUGGAUAGCACAUUAAGAAUGUGCGAUUGUCUUGCAACGCAGGUGUUCAGUAAUUCUGUAGCAAACGGGCUCAAAUUUUAUUUGGAUCGAAACUGUGAUUCAUUAAUCGGGUGUGAAGAAACUAUUGCAUUCUGCAAACGCAUGAAUGACAUGUUUGAUGCCUUGAAGUGUAACGCCGCAAAUCAAGGACUCACUCCUGAUUCUGCCAAUCUCAAGGUAUUGGACGAUUGUUUGAAAUGGUUAAAUACUUGGGAAAUUGCGCAGUUCAACGGCGAAAUAACGGCGGACGAAUUUUUAAAUACAGAAACAGCGCACGGGUUGCGUGUAAGCUUAACGUCGACUAUCGAGUUAUGCAAAUAUCUGACAGGGAGACUCGAAUUCGAAUGUCAAUUUGCAGGUGAAGCAAGCUAAAAGACAAGGCAGAGGGACAUUUGACUGUUGGGGUAGUGUAGGAGUUCAUAUAGUAUGUAUUAUGACCGCGGAUGGGCAAGGUUUCUUACCUGACUUAGGAAUUCAAUUCGUUCUUUAGCGUCAAGAGUGUCGCAUCAUUAGCUUGUGAUACGCCAAAAAAUUCAUCGGUUUGAAACAUGCGUAGAAUGAUGAGAAGUUGACCGAUUUGGAUUCUGUAAAAUGGAUUCUUCCCCAGAAAAAUCUACAAAUUUUGACUAAACAACAGAAAUUUCUUAUGCAAGAAAGGAAAUUUUAAUAUUUUUGUAAACAGUAUUAACCAAAAAUAUUAACGUAAAGAAUGACAAUAUUGAAACAGAGAUGUUAAAUAAAUUCAGGCAUCCAUACAUUGUGCCACAAAAUUUGAAAAAUGUCAAUGUUGAAUGGGUAUCGGAGUUCAGACAAAGGUGGAGCCAAGUUAACAGAAUGGAAAACAUAUUCUUCGAAAAAUUCACGACAUUUGUCAGAUAACGAUUAAGACAUUUUCACACUACAUGGAAAUGAAUAUUCAUCAUUAUUGUAAUAGUGAUUAAUUACUUUAUUCCAAUCCUCUUCUUUCCCAACCUUUUCAUGUGAUCCAUUUAUAAUCGUCAUUUUUAAACGCAUUUCAUAAAAACUGGACCAAAUCGAAUAACCUUUUCAUAAAAUAGUCGUCCAUAUUGAGAUUACCAUUUUGUAUUUUGGUUUUUUUUUUAUUUGUAA